GACCUGGGAAGCUCUGAGGUACCGGAACGCAUGAGGGAAAGCAGUAGACUAAAGGCACACAUGGGGAACAUUUUAGUAGCCUAAGUCCUCCUCCAGGUGGGAUCACAUCACAGAAGCACCGCCAUCACCGGGAUCAAGAAAAGGAGAUACACAGCUACAGGAGGUCACGGAACAAUGAUAGACGCAGCAGUGAACGCCACGGUCACCACCAUCACCGUGGUAACCAUUUCCAAGAUGACCAGGAGCAAUCCCAUAGACGUCACCAUCAUCAUCCUCAGCACCUUCAUCACGAUGACGAGAUGUCGGAUCACCACACCACCGUCACCCUCUCCAGAGCAUCUUCCUCCUCCCUCUCAUCUUCCUCCUCUUCCUCUUCCUCCGACUCUUCCACCGAAUGGUCCGGCAUUGACGACAAGUUCUCCCUGAAGCACGCCAGCCGGCCGCAGCAUACCAUGUCCUGCUCCAACAUUGCAGGAGGACGACAGUUCCGGGAGGAUGACAGUGAGCUGCAGGUGUAUGCCACGGUCAAACAGGGGCGAAUGCACGGAGGAGGAAGCCCUGGGACCAACCAUCGGGCCCAGGGGAGGGGAGGACAAGAGCCCAGCUACUCCGAGCUCAACCGGGGCCAUAGCCGCAGUGAAGAGGGGUUGCUGCAGAAUACAGGCACUGACAGAGGGAAAGCACGGACACCCCCACACCUGAAGCACGGAUCCCUCUACAAGACAGCCAGCCUGGGCCGUAGCCUGGCCUUCAGUGAAGAGGUCCUGGCUGGGCCAAAGAGGGCGGUGUCCUCGAUCCAGCUCCCCAGUAAAGGCAUCCUGAAAAACAAGGAGGCGCCGCCGGACAUCCGCAAGGCCAAGUCCAUGGAGGUGCUGUCUUCCCGGGUAGCAGGCAAGACAGCAGGGCCCAAGGGGAAGCAGGAUGUGGAGGCUCUGAAGGAUGCAGCCAGGCAGAGCAUGGUGAAGGGGAAGAUACAGUUCUCUGCCUUCCUGGAUGAGAUCACUAAACAGGUCAUCAGCCCCGCCCGUCUCAAUACUCUGGGGGUACCUGUCGAGACUGUAGGACCGGGUCCAGCCAAAACCCCAGCAUCCCCCAAAUCUCAACUGAAAAGUCAGCCCCAGCUUCCCUUGAAAAAGCAGGGAGAUGGGCAGGGGGAGGAGAGGGAAACGGUUACUAAACCUAGAAAACUGAGGAAUGACUCUGACACACGGUCACGGAAAAUAUCUCUCCCUACAAAGUUUGGGUAUGAAAGCAAGAACCACACUCCUUGUCUAGGCAGCCCCCCAACCCACCACUCCAGCCAACCCUACCCGCCCCACCCACCGGCUGGCUAUGAAGACCAACCAGCCUCCCUGCCUGACUUCCAGGGUCCUGUCGGUAAUAGGCAUGGGCGGUAUGGCUCCCUUCUUACAGACGGCACUGUCAGCUCCAGCCCUGAGCCCAGCCAUCACAAACACCGUAGCUACAAACACCUUGACCAGAGCCACAGGCCCACCCAUAGCCCACCUUCAUCUCCACACACCCAGCAACCCCAGCUACCCCACCGCACCCCAAUCCGCACACACUCCCCUCCUCCAGUGCCAGGGCCCGAGUCGGAGUCUCCCUCCAGCAAGUCUGACUCAUCCCGGAACAGAGACCGAGACACGGCCAGCCCCAGCUCCGAGCAGAGCAACCGCCACAACCGGUCAACCUACCGCUGGCAUCCAAAGCCACACAGGACCUUGACAGGUGACACAGGCGAACUCCAAGCUCUCUCACCCCCUCUAUCAGUAAAGAUGGAUGAAGAACAAGAUGAAGGAGAAAUGGCACUGCAGGAGGAGAAUGCUGAGCUGCACCAGAACCUGAUGCAAACAGUGGUCUGCAUCGAGAGCCUGGAGGCGGAGCUAGCCAGGGCCAGGGAGGAGCUUAGCCACAUGAAGGAGAAGUUCAAGAGGCUCCAGGACACACACACAGGUACCCAGCACACCAACAGCCUUCUGGGGGAGAAACUGCACUCAGCGACUGAGAGCCUUAGCUCUGAGAGGAAGUAUAUGGUGCAGCGUAUCGCCCAUCUCAGCACAGAGCUGGAGCAGGCCAACGCCACCAUCGCCUCUCUGGAGAACAUCAAUGUUCCCUGUCUGAUCAAGGAGCUCCUAGAGAAGCACUUUGACUCUGGAGACACUGUCAAGCAGUUCCUGAAGAACGCCUUGAAAACCGGCCAAUCCACAAGCGACAUCCAAUCACCUGCUACAAAACUGGAGCAGAAGCCAUCUGAUUGGUCAGGAGGAGGGGUUUGGGGUGAUAGGUCAGACAGGAAAUGAGGAUUCUCGCCCGAUGAGUCCCCCUUUCUCCGUCGCUGACAUCAGUAUGGCUAUCUAUAAGAAACUAGCUGCCAGCCAAGCGGCAAGACAGCCCCGGCCUUCCAACUACCAACCUCACACUGACACCCCUCCCAACCCCUACCCUCUGGUGGAGUUGGGUACAGGGGGUGCAGGAGGUGCAUGGGAGGAGGGUUACCUUGUGCCUGCUGUCAAGGAGGGCAUGGCAGUUGCAGGGAGAGCAGCUGAGAGUAAGCAGGGUGCUGUUGUUGAUGUGUCCUAUCUGACGGCCCAGAGGGUUCUGGAUGACUUCAUGCACCAGCUGACACACCCAGAGGAUGGGAGCGCAGGUGGGGAGAGGGGGCAUAAGGCCAACGGGGGAGGGGGAACAACUGAAGAGAAGGGGGCAGAGUGAAACGAACCUAUGAAUUGCUGUAAUUGUAACCUUAUAUUACAUAGGCUAGGAUUGUUCAAGAUGUGAUGGUUUGUUUGUGAUGGUUUGAGGCCUGUAGUUCUGCAUUUAUUUAACAUUUUAAUGUCACUAUACAUUUGAGUGAUGGCAUUGUAAAUAUUACAUUCUGUUUCUUUCCCAAAUGUCUUGUGGUGCAGUUGUAAAGAAAGUAUUAGACUUAAACAAUUAAUUGAACUAUAUACAGAAUAUAAUUAUUAAUCCAAAUUUGCAAUGUGAUACAGUCCAUCCUUUUCCUUGUGAAGUGAUGCAGAAUUUAAAUGUUUUGUUAAUGCCUAGACAGUGAGUAGAAUUUUCUAUUUUAUAACAAUGACCGCUAUUUUGUAAGCUCCAGUAAGCCAAUGAAGGAACCUUCAUAUCUGAAUAACAUCGAUCCAGCUGGCAUUAACGUAUUACCCACUGUGUUUUGGGCUAUCAUGUCACAUGACCUAGAGUUUAACCUUUAUUUUAAGCCUUUUCCAGAAAUGAGAACUAUGAAAGCAAUUGUCUGAGGAUGGUGUCGGAGGAUGCUGCUGGACCAUCUGACAUAAAAAGAAAAGGGGACAGUUUGAUGAAAAAAUUUAAAUAAAGGUUCAAAUCCAGGUCUUGUGACAUGACUGUGCAAAACACAGGGCCCUACAUUAACGCUAUGCUGUCCAUCCUAAUGAACUGUCUUAGCUAAAACUGUAUAAAGCUGCUGUCCCCCCCAAGACUUUUGAUGUUGUAGAUUAAUAAAAUGACUAAUUCUAAA
rnacentral:lncRNA from 1 species